AAAACCCAAAGGCGCAAUAAAAGUAAAAGGGUGGAAUUUUUGUGCACUUGUGUACAAUUUCCCCUGAGGGAAGAUGGAAAGAUUGUUUUUAACAGUAAUAGUUACGGCUAUUUAUUGUUAUUAAUUAAGAUUUCCCGCAUCCCCUGGGCGCUUGUUUCUUGCUUUGCAAGUCGAUGCGCACCUAGAGCGUACACGCUGAUACCCGAAAGAUGGUGAACUAUGCCUGGCCAGGACGAAGCCAGGGGAAACCCUGGUGGAGGUCCGCAGCGAUUCUGACGUGCAAAUCGAUCGUCGGAGCUGGGUAUAGGGGCGAAAGACCAAUCGAACCAUCUAGUAGCUGGUUCCCUCUGAAGUUUCCCUCAGGAUAGCUUGCACUCGGUUGAGACGAGUCUCAUCCGGUAGAGCGAAUGAUUAGAGGCAUUGGGGUCGAAACGACCUCAACCUAUUCUCAAACUCCAAAUAGAUGAGAUCCCCGGCUUUCUUAAAAUUGAAGCCGUGGGAUUUUGAUCAGAGUGCCAAGUGGGCCAAUUU
rnacentral:rRNA from 1 species